GUGAGGAAUUUUCCGCAAUGGGCGAAAGCCUGACGGAGCAAUGCCGCGUGAAGGAUGAAGGCCUAUGGGUUGUAAACUUCUUUUCUCAGAAAAGAAUUAUGACGGUAUCUGAGGAAUAAGCAUCGGCUAACUCUGUGCCAGCAGCCGCGGUAAGACAGAGGAUGCAAGCGUUAUCCGGAAUGAUUGGGCGUAAAGCGUCUGUAGGUUGUUUAAAAAGUAUUCUGUCAAAGAUUAGGGCUUAACCCUAGAUAGGAAGAAUAAACUUUUAAGCUAGAGUUUGGUAGAGGCAGAGGGAAUUCCCGGUGGAGCGGUGAAAUGCGUAGAUAUCGGGAGGAACACCAAAGGCGAAGGCACUCUGCUGGGCCAAUACUAACACUGAGAGACGAAAGCGAGGGGAGCAAAUGGGAUUAGAUACCCUGUGUAGUCC
rnacentral:rRNA from 1 species